UCUGUCAGUGUCCUCAAUAGUCCCAAACUGU
rnacentral:piRNA from 1 species